CAGGGUCAUAUUUUUCAUCUUAGAGAAGAUGGACAGAUGUGAUCAAGAGGCGUCAGAGCAAAUCAAAUCUGUGCAGUGCAUGUGACAUGUUGCAGAGUGCAGACCAUGAUCAAUGUCCUGCUAAGCAUAUUUUUGGUGCAUCAACUCACUGGAUCUCCAUUAGUAUCCUGUAAGAGACACCACUUCAAGAAGGAAUGCAAGAUCUGGGGGAGCAAAGAGCAAGGUUGGCUAUCCAUGCUUCUACAGCCCACAAGUGAUGGCGCUCACCAUCAUUAUGAAAAGGGGCAGCCUUGGACUGGC